rnacentral:rRNA from 1 species
AAUCCCGUGAACCAUCGAGUCUUUGAACGCAAGUUGCGCCCGAAGCCUUCGGGCCGAGGGCACGCCUGCCUGGGCGUCACGCAUCGCGUCGCCCCCCGCCCCUGCGGGGAGUGCGGAGAAUGGCCUCCCGUGCGCCCCGGCGCGCGGCCGGCCC